AGCUUUGCGCAGCAGCAGUAACAUAGCCAAUGAGGUUUAUCUGAGGUGUGAUUAUCGCUAAUCGAAAGA
rnacentral:snRNA from 1 species